GUCACCAAGUUGUCUUCGCACUGCUUGUCACAAGUUGUCAACAAGUUUGGAACAACCUGUUAACAAUUUGUAACAACCUUGUUGAUAUUAUCAAGCUUGUUAUAAGGUUGUUCCAACAAGUCCGAUACAGUCAUGAUAUAGCAGUAUUGUUACAACCUUGUGUCGUCAACCUUGUAACAUUCUUGUUUAUCAUGACUGUAGAACAACCUUGUAACAAGUCUGAUAAUGCUAUCAAGCUUGUUACAAGUUGUGAACAGCUUGUUCCAAACUUGUUACAACAACUGGGAACAAGCAGUGCGAAGACAACUUGUUGACAGCUUGUGAACUGAUUUGUAACAACUUGUUUGCAGACUUGUAACAACUUAUGCAUUUUCACGUGUCUAG